AGAGUUUGAUCCUGGCUCAGGAUGAACGCUGGCGGCGUGCUUAACACAUGCAAGUCGAACGAACCUUCGGGUUAGUGGCGGACGGGUGAGUAACGCGUGGGAAUCUGCCCUCAGGAGGGGGAUAACGGCUGGAAACGGCCGCUAAUACCCCAUAUGCCGCGAGGUGAAAUGAAUUUCGCCUGAGGAUGAGCCCGCGUCUGAUUAGCUAGUUGGUGGGGUAAAGGCCUACCAAGGCGACGAUCAGUAGCUGGUCUGAGAGGAUGAUCAGCCACACUGGGACUGAGACACGGCCCAGACUCCUACGGGAGGCAGCAGUGGGGAAUUUUCCGCAAUGGGCGAAAGCCUGACGGAGCAACGCCGCGUGAGGGAUGAAGGCCUCUGGGCUGUAAACCUCUUUUCUCAAGGAAGAAGACCUGACGGUACUUGAGGAAUAAGCCACGGCUAAUUCCGUGCCAGCAGCCGCGGUAAUACGGGAGUGGCAAGCGUUAUCCGGAAUUAUUGGGCGUAAAGCGUCCGCAGGCGGCCUUGUAAGUCUGUCGUUAAAGCGUGGAGCUUAACUCCAUUUCGGCGAUGGAAACUACAAGGCUUGAGUGUGGUAGGGGCAGAGGGAAUUCCCGGUGUAGCGGUGAAAUGCGUAGAUAUCGGGAAGAACACCAGUGGCGAAGGCGCUCUGCUGGGCCAUAACUGACGCUCAUGGACGAAAGCCAGGGGAGCGAAAGGGAUUAGAUACCCCUGUAGUCCUGGCCGUAAACGAUGAACACUAGGUGUCGGGGGAAUCGACCCCCUCGGUGUCGUAGCCAACGCGUUAAGUGUUCCGCCUGGGGAGUACGCACGCAAGUGUGAAACUCAAAGGAAUUGACGGGGGCCCGCACAAGCGGUGGAGUAUGUGGUUUAAUUCGAUGCAACGCGAAGAACCUUACCAGGGUUUGACAUCCUGCGAACCCCUGAGAAAUCGGGGGGUGCCUUCGGGAGCGCAGAGACAGGUGGUGCAUGGCUGUCGUCAGCUCGUGUCGUGAGAUGUUGGGUUAAGUCCCGCAACGAGCGCAACCCACGUCGUUAGUUGCCAGCAUUAAGUUGGGCACUCUAGCGAGACCGCCGGUGAUAAACCGGAGGAAGGUGUGGAUGACGUCAAGUCAUCAUGCCCCUUACAUCCUGGGCUACACACGUACUACAAUGCUACGGACAAAGGGCAGCAAGCUCGCGAGAGUAAGCAAAUCCCAUAAACCGUGGCUCAGUUCAGAUCGUAGGCUGCAACUCGCCUACGUGAAGGAGGAAUCGCUAGUAAUCGCAGGUCAGCAUACUGCGGUGAAUACGUUCCCGGGCCUUGUACACACCGCCCGUCACACCAUGGAAGUUGGCCAUGCCCGAAGUCGUUACUCCAACCCUUGUGGAGGAGGACGCCGAAGGUGGGGCUGAUGACUGGGGUGAAGUCGUAACAAGGUAGCCGUA
rnacentral:rRNA from 1 species